rnacentral:sRNA from 1 species
AUCGCGUAUAGGCGGUCGUCGGCCGUGA